CAAUGGGAGCGGCGGACGGGUGAGGAACACGUGGGAACAUNCCUUUCGGUUCGGCACAACUGCGGGAAACUGCAGCUAAUUCCGGAUACGCCCUUACGGGGAAAGAUUUAUCGCCGAAAGAUUGGCCCGCGUCUGAUUAGCUAGUUGGUGAGGUAAUGGCUCACCAAGGCUUCGAUCAGUAGCUGGUUUGAGAGAACGACCAGCCACACUGGGACUGAGACACGGCCCAGACUCCUACGGGAGGCAGCAGUGGGGAAUCUUGGACAAUGGAGGAAACUCUGAUCCAGCGAUGCCGCGUGAGUGAUGAAGGCCUUCGGGUCGUAAAACUCUUUUACCAGGGAAGAUAAUGACUGUACCUGGAGAAUAAGCUCCGGCUAACUUCGUGCCAGCAGCCGCGGUAAUACGAAGGGGGCUAGCGUUGUUCGGAAUUACUGGGCGUAAAGCGUGCGCAGGCGGUUUUUCAAGUCAGGGGUGAAAGCCCAGAGCUCAACUCUGGAAUUGCCUUUGAAACUGACGAACUGGAGUACGAGAGAGGUGAGUGGAAUUCCCAGUGUAGAGGUGAAAUUCGUAGAUAUUGGGAAGAACACCGGUGGCGAAGGCGGCUCACUGGCUCGUAACUGACGCUCAUGCACGACAGCGUGGGGAUCAAACAGGAUUAGAUACCCUGGUAGUCCACGCCGUAAACUAUGAACGCUAGCCGUUGGCCAGCUUGCUGGUCAGUGGCGCAGCUAACGCAUUAAGCGUUCCGCCUGGGGAGUACGGCCGCAAGGUUGAAACUCAAAGAAAUUGACGGGGGCCCGCACAAGCGGUGGAGCAUGUGG
rnacentral:rRNA from 1 species